rnacentral:rRNA from 1 species
GCAAGUCGAACGCUUCUUUCCUCCCGAGUGCUUGCACUCAAUUGGAAAGAGGAGUGGCGGACGGGUGAGUAACACGUGGGUAACCUACCCAUCAGAGGGGGAUAACACUUGGAAACAGGUGCUAAUACCGCAUAACAGUUUAUGCCGCAUGGCAUAAGAGUGAAAGGCGCUUUCGGGUGUCGCUGAUGGAUGGACCCGCGGUGCAUUAGCUAGUUGGUGAGGUAACGGCUCACCAAGGCCACGAUGCAUAGCCGACCUGAGAGGGUGAUCGGCCACACUGGGACUGAGACACGGCCCAGACUCCUACGGGAGGCAGCAGUAGGGAAUCUUCGGCAAUGGACGAAAGUCUGACCGAGCAACGCCGCGUGAGUGAAGAAGGUUUUCGGAUCGUAAAACUCUGUUGUUAGAGAAGAACAAGGACGUUAGUAACUGAACGUCCCCUGACGGUAUCUAACCAGAAAGCCACGGCUAACUACGUGCCAGCAGCCGCGGUAAUACGUAGGUGGCAAGCGUUGUCCGGAUUUAUUGGGCGUAAAGCGAGCGCAGGCGGUUUCUUAAGUCUGAUGUGAAAGCCCCCGGCUCAACCGGGGAGGGUCAUUGGAAACUGGGAGACUUGAGUGCAGAAGAGGAGAGUGGAAUUCCAUGUGUAGCGGUGAAAUGCGUAGAUAUAUGGAGGAACACCAGUGGCGAAGGCGGCUCUCUGGUCUGUAACUGACGCUGAGGCUCGAAAGCGUGGGGAGCAAACAGGAUUAGAUAC